GUCGUCAUCCGUCAUCCUCGGAGCUCAGCUUUUUUCUUCACUUGCCCAGGGGCUGCGGGCAGUGACACACCCACUGAGGGUUUGGGGCUUUUAGAAAGUAGCUUCUUAGAAAACCAGAAACCUGUUUGGGACUGGAAUUUUGCGCACUACUUGGAACGAUAAAAUACCAACCCGACAGAGUCUUGAGAGGUGGGGUGUACAUGUGCGUACGUGAGCAGCAGAGGAACUACAGAAGAGCAAUAAGGUUAGCCGUGUCAGAAAGAUGUCACCAUUUACAGAAAAGAGAAAAGGAAGGAAAAAUAUGCCAUUUAUGGAAAGAGCAAAGGAAGCAUUUUAUGUCUUCCCUGCUGGUGGUUCAACUUCAGCCGACAAGCUCUAUCUCAUGGAGAAUUUCAGCACCACCCUCCUCUGUACCACUGGAGAAGAAUAAAAAUGAAGUCUGUAUACGAGAUGCAUCUGGAGAGAGACAGUAAUUACUGGCCAGGACUGAUUAAAAUUCUCGCUAGGACCUCAGAGAAGCACUGAUCAUGGCUUGGCAAAGAAAGGAAAGCAUCGCUACUGCUUCCCAGAGCACGUGUGGAGCGAGGAACAAAGACAGCAAAAUAUAUCACUGGCUUCUAGCCACAAGCUAAGAAAGUGAAUGAAGGAAAAGCCAGAUUGUAUCGAUCUGCCGCUCCUAUCUAUGAUACGAUGUUCAACUCCAUGAUCAGGCUGUAGGACGACACUUUCCCUCACUGUAAGCAGAUUGUUAAUAUUCCCUAGGUCUUUCUCAUGCUGCUGCAUUUCAUCUCCCUAAAUAAUAGCAAUCAUAGGGGCAAAGUUGGUUUGCAUUACAUAUUUGUCUCACUCAUACACCUGGCAAAAAAAUCCUGUGCAUAUUACACACUGAUACGUAGCCAAAAAGGGAAUGUUUCCUUCCCUCUUCACUCCAGAAAAAACGCUCAAGGUUUUACUCCCAGAACCAGGGAUGACAAGGUGGCUUUUUUUGCAGGCUCUUGACUCCCACCUUCCCCUGGCCUAGAAAGUUGGCUUACUAGUUGGCUUCUCUAGUAGAUUUUUUUUUUAGAAUAAAUGCUUUUGAAAUAUUCUUUCCAAAAUGCAGGGAUCACAUGAGCAAUGUAAUUCACUCCAAUUAACUUUGAUUUGUUUUCCAGUAAUUGCUAACUGAUGAGUUUAUUAAACUUAUGUCUCAGAGUUUUUCUAAGGGUAAAAAUUCCCUUUAAGAGUCAAUGGUUCACAUAAGAAAUAGGAAGAUCGGUAGGAGAAGGAAGGAAAGAAUGAAGGGGGGGUAAACCGAAGGGGGAAUGAACCAUGAGAGACUGUGGACUCUGGGAAACAAACUGAGGGCUUCAGAGUGAGGG